UAUAACCGCUCCUGAUGAAUCGCUGUUUCUGUUUCUGUCAGGUAAGACUGUUUUCCUCGCAGUAAUCUCUCUCAUUCAUUCAGAUUCAUCCUCUUCAUUCAUUUGUUUGUGGCUGUGGAAGUCUCAUUCAGACUCUCCAUUGAGCAAACAUGCCAUUCAGGAUUUUCUGUCUUUGUGUCUAUAAGAAGCUCAGAAACUGCAGAAGGGCUGCUGCAUAGAUACAAAAAGUGUGUGGGUGUUUGUGUGCGUGAUUUCUCGGGGGUUAAGUUGUCCCUUUUUCCAACCGUUUGAGUUUGUUUUUGGGGAAUGUUAUCCUUUUUAUUUGGACGGAUCAUUUCAGCCUCUCACACCUUUAAAAUGUCUCUGAUCUCAUGUCUUUUUCUUCCUUCGCUCGGUCUGCGAGCAGUCGGUUUACACCCCCCAACAACCUCCCAUGGGUGUUGCUAUGGAAACAGGCCUCUUCGGUCAGGUGGCUCCACGCUGAAUGCUCCCCAGUGCUCUGAUUUGCUCCGACAUAGUCUGGCUGAAUCACUUGGACACGUGAUGCUGGAUCAUCAAGUCUGUAUGCUGAAUAUGAAGCCCCCCACCCCCACCCCCUUUA